CGCGCCCGCCAUUGAGCUUCAAAACGUGUUUUAGAGACCCACGGAGAGUCAAUGGGUGACGUCACAGUAGCUGUGUCCAUAUUUUUUACAGUCUCUGAUCUUAACCCAAUCUCUCCUGGUCAACACACUUUCCCCUUACGUCACAUCCUUACUAGGGUAGUCUUCCAACUACUCUCGGGAAAGUAAUACAGUGCCUCCUAGUGGUCAGAAUACACUCAACCUGUAACAUCUAUUAUUGAACACAACAAAUUGCAUGGUAUGAAACGGGAAUGAACUAUUUUUUCUUGAUAAAAUCAUUGUUUUCAUAGAACUUACGACCAGAGACGUUUGCUUAACAACGGUGCGACUAGAACUACAAACCAGAGUGUCUGCAUAAGGACGGUCCAAUUAGAACUACGAAGCAGAGUUUUGCUUGACAACGGCAACCCUGUACUUUGAGUAUUUUUUGUUGCAGCUGGCUAGAGUGUCGCCGGAUUGUGCAGUACACAAGUCUUGUACAGUAUCCAGUCUUCUGGGCCAUGUAACAGUAGGAACAGAGACGAGACUAACGGCAACCAAUGAACAAGUUGAGGAUGUUUCAGUGUUGGAGGGGGAUUUGACUGACGACGUAACGUAAGUGAUGAUAACGAGGGAGACCAAGCAGCGGUGCUGCCAGAGAGAGCAGAUGAAUCCCUUUUCUUGAACAAUUUGGCUUUCUUUUAUUUAAAGUUGCAGGCAAAACUUUUACUGCCAGCAUCAGUCAUACAGUCUAUUAUUGAGGAUUUUCAAGCAGUGCAUGAUAUCAGUCAGUCUCAUUUACUUCAUAAGUUGGACGAAAAGCUGGUAUCAUUGGAUAUCUCUGACCGUGAGAGAGAGAGGUUCUUAAAUCCGAGGAUUUGUUUCGGGCAUGCAACACUGGUACCUUGAAAACUGAUCAAAGACAAAAAACGGUUUUUAAAAAUCAGUUUAGAUACAUUGAGCCAGUCCCACCUUAUCUUGGAAAGAAUGAUAUGGGAUCACAGAGUGGCUUUAGUGAAAACUUCAGUAAAGGCACCCAUUUCUGCAGAUUAUGUACUAGAGCCCGACCGAUAUAUCUAUAAUAUAUUAAUAUAUAUUAUAUAAUAAA